UGAGUAACACGUAAGUAAUCUACCUUUGAGUGGGGAAUAACCCGGGGAAACCCGAGCUAAUACCGCAUAAUGCAGCGGCAUCGCAAGAUGACAGUUGUUAAAGAUUUAUCGCUUGAAGAGGAGCUUGCGGCAGAUUAGCUAGUUGGUAAGGUAAUGGCUUACCAAGGCUACGAUCUGUAACCGGUCUAAGAGGACGGUCGGUCACACUGACACUGAAUAACGGGUCAG
rnacentral:rRNA from 1 species